rnacentral:rRNA from 1 species
GCGCAGCAGUCGCGAAAACUUCACACUGUGCGAAAGCACGAUGAGGGAAUCCCAAGUGCUUGCACGUAAGUGUAAGCUGUUUCUCUGUCUAAAACGCAGAGAGAGUAAGGGCUGGGUAAGACGGGUGCCAGCCGCCGCGGUAAUACCUGCAGCUCAAGUGGUGACCGUUAUUAUUGGGCCUAAAACGUCCGUAGCCGGUUUAAUAAAUGCCUGGGUAAAUUGUGUAGCCUAACUAUACGAAUUCCAGGUAGACUGUUAAACUUGAGACCGGGAGAAGUUAGAGGUACUCCUGGGGUAGAGGUGAAAUUCUGUAAUCCUAGGGGGACCACCAGUGGCGAAGGCGUCUAACUAGAACGGGUCUGACGGUGAGGGACGAAGCCCUGGGGCGCAAAACGGGGAUUAGAUACCCCCGUAGU